UCCAAAACUUCUUAUUUGCUUCACAUUCUUUUUAAAUGGCCAAAUCCAGCACUAUUCCGGCCACUGAGCCUAUCACCGCUACCUCCACCGUCACUACCGGCGACCUUCUAGAGGUCGUACUGCAGGAUGCCCCUGCCGACACCACUCCUUCGAUCCUGCCUAGUUCGGUAGACGUCGAGGCUAGGAUUCGAAAUGCAUACUAUUCCUCGGAGGAGUUUUCUCACCUUCAUACUCCUUCCACCAUCACCCCCUCACAGAUUUCUGACAUCC
rnacentral:lncRNA from 1 species